rnacentral:pre_miRNA from 1 species
AAAAAGACAAACCCUGGUUUCCGUGUCCAACGUUUAACCGUCCGUCUUAUUUAAAAAAAUUAAAAAGAUAAGUCACGCAUAAAGUAUUAAUCAUGUUUUAUCAUCUAACAACAAUGAAAGUACUAACUAUAAAAAAUUUCACAUAAGACGGACAGUCAAACGUUGGCACGGGAACCCACGGUUUGUUUUUUU